rnacentral:lncRNA from 1 species
GAUAAAGCUCAAAGAAAUUUUAAACCUUUUUAAGUUGUGUGCAGUAAACAUUGAAAUAUUGUCAUUAUACAAAAAAAAAAGAUUUGUUAUGAUUGCCAGUGAGACAUCUCUAUCAGAGAACAAAUGAUGUAGAAGUUGACUGUAGUGUCAGCAUGCAACCUUAAAAAUUUGUUAAACAAUGAGCAAAACCCAUACCACAUAGCAUGGGCAAUCAGACAACUUUUCAUAGAGACUAUUUAUUACAUAGAAAUUAGCAACUGUUGGUCAACAUACGAUCUUCAACAAUGAGAAAAACCUAUACUGCAUAACAAGCUUUAAAAGACUGACAAAACAAAUGUAGAGAAGACUUGAUAGUUUUAAAUUUCAAUCAAAUAUAUACCAGUAAGCAGAUAGAGAGA